rnacentral:rRNA from 1 species
CUACCCUUGACAUGUAUGGAACCUGGCUGAGAGGUCGGGGUGCCCGAAAGGGAGCCAUAACACAGGUGCUGCAUGGCUGUCGUCAGCUCGUGUCGUGAGAUGUUGGGUUAAGUCCCGCAACGAACGCAACCCUUGUCCCUAGUUGCUACGCAAGAGCACUCUAGGGAGACUGCCGGUGACAAACCGGAGGAAGGUGGGGAUGACGUCAAGUCCUCAUGGCCCUUAUGGGUAGGGCUUCACACGACAUACAAUGGUCGGAACAGAGGGUCGCCAAGCCGCGAGGUGGAGCCAAUCCCAGAAAACCGAUCGUAGUCCGGAUCGCAGUCCGCAACUCGACUGCGUGAAGUCGGAAUCGCUAGUAAUCGCGAAUCAGAAUGUCGCGGUGAAUACGUUCCC